rnacentral:rRNA from 1 species
CCUACGGGAGGCAGCAGUGAGGAAUAUUGGUCAAUGGACGAGAGCCUGAACCAGCCAAGUAGCGUGAAGGAUGACUGCCCUACGGGUUGUAAACUUCUUUUAUAAAGGAAUAAAACGACGCACGUGUACCUUUUUGCAUGUACUUUAUGAAUAAGGACCGGCUAAUUCCGUGCCAGCAGCCGCGGUAAUACGGAGGGUCCGAGCGUUAUCCGGAUUUAUUGGGUUUAAAGGGAGCGUAGAUGGGUUGUUAAGUCCGUUGUGAAAGUUUGCGGCUCAACCGUAAAAUUGCAAUUGAUACUGGCAGUCUUGAGUACAGGGAAUGUAGGCGGAAUUCGUGGUGUAGCGGUGAAAUGCUUAGAUAUGACGAAGAACCCCGAUUGCGAAGGCAGCUUGCUGAACUGUAACUGACAUUGAUGCUCGAAAGUGUGGGUAUCAAACAGGAUUAGAUACCCGAGUAGUC